UUUUUUUUUUUUGUCUUUAGGUCAUUUAUUUCUGUUCUGAUUUUUAUUAUUUCCUUCCUUCUACUUACUGUGGGAUUUUCUUGUUGUUCUCUUUCUAGUUAUUUUAAUUGUAGGGUUAAAUAGUUUAUUGUUGAUUUUUCUUUUUUUGUUCGUUUGUUUUUUGAGGUAGGCCUGUAAUGCUAUGAACUUCCCUCUCAGGACUGCUUUUGCUGUGUCCCAGAGAUUUUGGGUUGUUGUGUGUUCAUUUUCAUUUGUUUCCAGGAAGUAAAAAUAUUUCUUCCUUUAGUAACACAUUUAUUGUUUAAUAACAUGUUAUUUAGUCUCCAUGUGUGUGUUUUUAAUUCAAAAUUUUUUUUGUUAAUUCUCACCUGAGGAUAUAUUUUCCAUUAUUAUGAUUAUUUAGAGAGAGUAGAAGGCAGGGAAGAGGAGGAGAGAGAGAGAGAGAGAAAGAUUGAUGUGAGAGAGCCACAACGAUUGGUUGCCUUUCACAUGUGCCCUGAUGAGGGCCAGGGAUUGAACCUGCAACCAAGGUAUGUGCCCUUGACUGGGAAUCAAACCUGCAGUUCAUGGACUGAUGUUCUAACCAUGAAACAACACUGGCCAAGGCUUGAAUAUUUUUAUUGUCUUUGAUUUAUAGUUUUAUGCCAUUGUUAUCCAAGAAAAUGCUUGAUAUGAUUUUAAUCUUGAAUAUGUUGAGUUAUUUCAUGUCCUGACAUGUGAUCUGUCUUUGAGAAUGUUCUAUAUGCACUUGAAAAAAAUGUAUAUUCUGCCGCUUUGGGAUGAAAUGUUCUGUAAAUAUCAAUUAAAUCAAUCUGAUCUA